GACGAACGCUGGCGGCGUGCUUAACACAUGCAAGUCGAACGGAAAGGCCCUGCUUUUGUGGGGUGCUCGAGUGGCGAACGGGUGAGUAACACGUGAGUAACCUGCCCUUGACUUUGGGAUAACUUCAGGAAACUGGGGCUAAUACCGGAUAGGAGCUCCGGCUGCAUGGUGGGGGUUGGAAAGUUUCGGCGGUUGGGGAUGGACUCGCGGCUUAUCAGCUUGUUGGGGGGGUAGUGGCUGACCAAGGCUUUGACGGGUAGCCGGCCUGAGAGGGUGACCGGCCACAUUGGGACUGAGAUACGGCCCAGACUCCUACGGGCGGCAGCAGUGGGGAAUAUUGCACAAUGGGCGGAAGCCUGAUGCAGCAACGCCGCGUGCGGGAUGACGGCCUUCGGGUUGUAAACCGCUUUCGCCUGUGACGAAGCGUGAGUGACGGUAAUGGGUAAAGAAGCACCGGCUAACUACGUG
rnacentral:rRNA from 1 species